CUCACAUAUGAUGUCUUCCAAUGAGGAUCUUCUCAGAGUUAUAGUAAAGAAGGAGCAAUGCCAAGGCUAAAGCUCUCUGCCCUUCCACAAUUUCUUCCAGCUCUCUUUAUCCUUUUUGGCAGCUGACAAAGAUCGGAGAGGCUUGCCAGUCAAAGCUAUCAGUAGAGAAGGUGAUACAGAGUCAGAGCUCAGAGAGCCCUGCUUUCAUUUGUCCCAAGCUCCCCUCUCUGACAUGCACCCCCAGUCCCCUGAUCAUUUUCUCUUGGAAGAGAACUAGGGCCCCUUUCCUAGACUCAAUCCCCCCAUUGUAUGUAUGACUUUUUGCUUUACUAGUAGUAGAAAGACUACAUUGUUUUCUCUCUCAUCUUUAAACACUGAGAUGGAGCUAGCCUUGUGGGGAGAUCCUGGACAGCGGCCAAGACUUCGAGGGUUGAGAAAAGAAACAUCCAAACUGUUCUUUUAGAAUUCAGCCUACAGGAAAACAUGAAUUCAUGUGAGAGCUGGGCAGAGAUCUCCUUCCAAGGUCCUGUAUAUCUCUUCUUCCCCCUCUGACCUUGCCUGCCCCAGGUGCCAUCUCCCAGUUGGCUUGUUCUUCUGAAGAUGUCUGAAUGUCCUGUAAAUACAGAUGAUGGAUACCAGUCAUUUGAAGUUUCUACCCAACCCCCUCCGAUCUCAUCACCUAAAUCCAGAAUGAGUGAAGUGGAUGUAUGUGGAGGUGAUAGAAGAAGAGAAAUGGACUACAUGUCAAAAUGACAAUUUGGAUUAAGUGAUUAAUAUAAUGAGAAGAACACGUGAUUAAUGAGGGUGUUUGUACUACUUAGUCAUACAAUGCAUUCAUUUUUCUAAUGUUUCAGGAAGAUCUUCUCUCCAGUCUAUCUGGAUUUCAGUGAUUUUUUAAAAGUACACUCAUUUAAUGAAUGUGGGAUUGAAAAACAACUCUAAAUGAUCUAUAGUUUGCUAUAUUACUAUUUGUAUAUGUAGAGAAAAGUUAUACUUGGUACCGGAACCCUAGUUUGGGAAUGGUAGACCUAAGGAGAAAGUCUGCUAUACAAGUUAAGUAGAACAUAUUUGGAAAAAAACUAAAUAACACUAGAAAGGUAAAGCACUGACUUAUUUAAAAUAUCUAUGGAUAUUAUAUUUUGAUAUUUGAUAAACAUAUAGAACAUGAUAAAUAAAUAAACAUAUCUAAAUAAAAGUGUGAAAUUC
rnacentral:lncRNA from 1 species